ensembl:lncRNA
CUCCUGUUCCUGCUGCUGCUGGGGUCACUGGUUGUGCUGGUGGGGCAGAACAGGUCACUCAGGAGAGCUCUCUCCAAGAAUAGACACAUGGCACUAAGUGAAGCUGUCUAUGAGGAGCUACAACCCAGACUGACCACAGCCGGCACCUCCAGAGGUCGUCAGAGAGGGCGCAUCCAGUCUGACGCUCAGAACUCUUGGUAUGAAGACGUGGAGGAGGAUGAGAGGAGACCCAUCUCCGUUGCUUCUCUGAGAGAGCCGACGGUGGAGUACUAUGAUGAUGUGACUACUGAUGAUAAUGAGACCAACCUCGAUGAUAUCUUGACAGAUGUACAAGAUUUACUGUCUGGUUCAGGAGAGAAGGAGACAGACAAGCAGCCAGAGACGUACGAUGAUGUGGAUGGUGUCACCAAUGUGGAGAAGUCAUGUGACAUGACUGACUACGUCCUAGAGAACACAGGAUAUGAUGAUGUGGGAGACAGUGUUGAGGGACUCCUCUCAGAGUCUGUGAGAGAGGAGGGGCUGGAGUAUUAUGAUGACAUCAUCACUGAUCAGAUCGACCCUAAAAUGACCAAGGCAAUGGAGGAGACAAAGCCUGCCAAUGAAGAAGAAGUGGAGUAUUAUGAUGACAUCACAAAUGAGGAGAAUGACCUUAAAAUGACAACAGGGAUUGAUUAUGAUGAUGUGGGGGUGGAGUCUGAGGAGUGACACUGGACAUGAAGAGGGGAGCAUAGGCCAUCGAAAGCAGAUUUCCAACAGAUUUGGUAUCCACUUGUUCUCGAUGUGACAGUAAUCUAGUAGAAUCCACUGAGCGAGGGAUUGGCCCACCCAGCUUCAGAUUAAAGCACCUGGUAUUCCCAGUUACUGUAUGUCCCAUCCAAGUACUAACCAGAACCAGCACUGCUUAGCUUCUGAGAUAGUACGAGAUUGGGCGUGCUCAGUGUGGUAUUUAGUGCUUUCUAAUGUCAUGUAUUUGAUAGUGUUUUUAAUGCCACAUAUAUUUCAGAGUGCUUUUUAAUGCCAUAUGCAUUUGAUAGGGCUUUUUAAUGCCAUAUAUGUUUUAUAGUGUUUUUAAUGCCACAUAUAUUUCAGUUUGCUUUUUAAUGCCAUAUGCAUUUGAUAGGGCUUUUUAAUGCCAUAUAUAUUUGAUAGUGUGUUUACUGCCACAUAUAUUUCAG